UACGUAGGGGGCUAGCGUUGUCCGGAUUUAUUGGGCGUAAAGCGCGUGUAGGCGGCCAGGUAGGUCCGUUGUGAAAACUCGAGGCUUAACCUCGAGACGUCGGCGGAAACCAUCGUGGCUAGAGUCCGGAAGAGGAGAGUGGAAUUCCGUGGUGUAGCGGUGAAAUGCGCAGAUAUCAGGAGGAACACCGGUGGCGAAGGCGGUUCUCUGGGCCUUACCUGACGCUGAGGAGCGAAAGCGUGGGGAGCGAACAGG
rnacentral:rRNA from 1 species